CAUGGUGAGGAGUGCGUCCUUGGCCCUCGUCGUGCCUACCCUGCUGCUUCUCCACAUCCGUGAAAUUAUAUCCCCGCGGCCGUCACAGCGCAGCCCUCCUCCGCCUGUGUGGAGGAGACUUGUCAGCUGAAAAAAGUAGGUGAAAAACACGCUUAGUUGUCGCUCGUUCCAGAAAAAAAGCACCAUUUGAGACACGCCAAUGGGCAAUAGUGUGUCAUGCUGAACAGAGACACGUCAUUCCCUGCGGUGUGAAGAGGUACCAGUGUGUCAUGCUGAACAGUGACACGUCAUUCCCUGCGGUGUGAAGAGGUACCAGUGUGUCAUGCUGAACAGAGACACGUCAUUCCCUGCGGUGUGAAGAGGUACCAGUGUGUCAUGCUGAACAGAGACACGUCAUUCCCUGCGGUGUGGACGCCGAACACGCUGAACACGCACACUGGUUGGAGUAGCGGCGUGCCUCACUCUCUGCCACUGUGCUUCAUGUCUCUCCUCCCUGCU